AUUGAACGCUGGCGGCAGGCCUAACACAUGCAAGUCGAGCGGAUGAAGGGAGCUUGCUCCUGGAUUCAGCGGCGGACGGGUGAGUAAUGCCUAGGAAUCUGCCUGGUAGUGGGGGAUAACGUCCGGAAACGGGCGCUAAUACCGCAUACGUCCUGAGGGAGAAAGUGGGGGAUCUUCGGACCUCACGCUAUCAGAUGAGCCUAGGUCGGAUUAGCUAGUUGGUGGGGUAAAGGCCUACCAAGGCGACGAUCCGUAACUGGUCUGAGAGGAUGAUCAGUCACACUGGAACUGAGACACGGACCAGACUCCUACGGGAGGCAGCAGUGGAGAAUAUUGGACAAUGGGCGAAAGCCUGAUCCAGCCAAGCCGCGUGUGUGAAGAAGGUCUUCGGAUUGUAAAGCACUUUAAGUUGGGAGGAAGGGCAGUAAGUUAAUACCUUGCUGUUUUGACGUUACCAACAGAAUAAACACCGGCUAACUUCGUG
rnacentral:rRNA from 1 species